GGCUGGUCCGAAGGUAGUGAGUUAUCUCAAUUGAUUGUUCACAGUCAGUUACAGAUCGAACUCCUUGUUCUACUCUUUCCCCCCUUCUCACUACUGCACUUGACUAGUCUUAA
rnacentral:Y_RNA from 1 species